UACGUAGGGUGCGAGCGUUAAUCGGAAUUACUGGGCGUAAAGCGUGCGCAGGCGGCUUUGCAAGACAGAUGUGAAAUCCCCGGGCUCAACCUGGGAACUGCAUUUGUGACUGCAAGGCUAGAGUACGGCAGAGGGGGAUGGAAUUCCGCGUGUAGCAGUGAAAUGCGUAGAUAUGCGGAGGAACACCAAUGGCGAAGGCAAUCCCCUGGGCCUGGACUGACGCUCAUGCACGAAAGCGUGGGGAGCAAACAGG
rnacentral:rRNA from 1 species